rnacentral:rRNA from 1 species
UAGCCGUUGGGAACGUGAGUCCUUGGUGGCGCAGCUAACGCACUAAGUAGACCGCCUGGGGAGUACGGCCGCAAGGUUAAAACUCAAAUGAAUUGACGGGGGCCCGCACAAGCGGUGGAGCAUGUGGUUUAAUUCGAUGCAACGCGAAGAACCUUACCAGGUCUUGACAUCCUUGGAAUCUUGCAGAGAUGCGAGAGUGCCUUCGGGAAUCAAGUGACAGGUGCUGCAUGGCUGUCGUCAGCUCGUGUCGUGAGAUGUUGGGUUAAGUCCCGUAACGAGCGCAACCCUUGUCCUUAGUUGCCAGCACAUUAUGGUGGGAACUCUAAGGAGACUGCCGGUGACAAACCGGAGGAAGGUGGGGGCGACGUCAAGUCAUCAUGGCCCUUACGACCUGGGCUACACACGUGCUACAAUGGAACGCACAGAGGGCAGCGAACCCGCGAGGGGGAGCGAAUCCCACAAAACGUUUCGUAGUCCGGAUCGCAGUCUGCAACUCGACUGCGUGAAGUCGGAAUCGCUAGUAAUCGCGAAUCAGAAUGUCGCGGUGAAUACGUUCCCGGGCCUUGUACACACCGCCCGUCACACCAUGGGAGUGGGUUGCUCCAGAAGUGGUUAGCCUAACCUUCGGGAGGGCGAUCACCAC